CCUUUUAACCCUUUUCCCACCCCCACAGGAGGAGACCCCGCCCCCUCGGGCCCCGCCUCCAGAGGAGCCUCGGAUUGGUCCCAGCCUGCCGGCUCCGCCCCCCGCCAUGGCCACGCCCCCUCCGGAGCCGCGCCCUGGCCCCGCUCACAUCGCACCGGUGCCACGCCCAUUGCGCAGGCCACGCCCACAGGACCCGCCCUUCCCUGUGCCUGAGGUGGGGGCGGAGCCUGCGGCCGAGGACAAGCGGAAGGGGCGGGGCGAGCGGCUGAAGCGCUGCAUCCGCACGGCGGCCGGGAGCAGCUGGGAGGAUCCCAGUCUGCUGGAGUGGGACGCUGGUACGGACUGGGACAUACUGGGAUAUACUGGGAUCAAACUGGGAUAUACUGGGAUGGACUGGGAGGGGAUUGGGUUAUACUGGGAUGGACUGGGAGGGACUGGGAUGGACUGGGAGGGGAUUGCGUUAUACUGGGAUGGACUGGGAGGGACUGGGACAAACUGGGAUGGACUGGGAUCAAACUGGGAUAGAUUGGGAGGGACUGGGAUGGACUGGGAGGGGACUGGGAUGGACUGGGAUAUACUGGGACAAACUGGGAUGGACUGGGAGGGACUGGGAUCAAACUGGGAGGGACUGGGAGGGACUGGGAGGGGAUUGGGUUAUACUGGGAUAUACUGGGAUGGACUGGGAUCAAACUGGGAGGAACUGGGAUGGACUGGGAUAUACUGGAACAAACUGGGAUGGACAGGGAUAUACUGGGAUCAAA
rnacentral:lncRNA from 1 species